UGGGGAAUCUUGCACAAUGGGCGAAAGCCUGAUGCAGCGACGCCGCGUGCGGGACGAAGGCCUUCGGGUCGUAAACCGCUUUCAGCAGGGACGAGGCCGCGAGGUGACGGUACCUGCAGAAGAAGCCCCGGCUAACUACGUGCCAGCAGCCGCGGUAAUACGUAGGGGGCGAGCGUUAUCCGGAUUCAUUGGGCGUAAAGCGCGCGCAGGCGGCCUGCUCGGUCGGGAGUCAAAUCCGGGGGCUCAACCCCCGCCCGCUCCCGAUACCGGCGGGCUUGAGUCUGGUAGGGGAAGGCGGAAUUCCCAGUGUAGCGGUGGAAUGCGCAGAUAUUGGGAAGAACACCGGUGGCGAAGGCGGCCUUCUGGGCCACGACUGACGCUGAGGCGCGAAAGCUAGGGGAGCGAACAGGAUUAGAUACCCUGGUAGUCCUAGCCGUAAACGAUGGACACUAGGUGUGGGGGGAGGAUCCCUCCGUGCCGCAGCCAACGCAUUAAGUGUCCCGCCUGGGGAGUACGGCCGCAAGGCUA
rnacentral:rRNA from 1 species